CCACGGUGAAAAGGGUGUUAAAUGAAGACUUAGGGCUUCGGGCAUAUCGAAGAAAACAGGACAUCGUUUGAUGCUCGUCUAAUGGA
rnacentral:pre_miRNA from 1 species